UACGUAGGGGGCAAGCGUUGUCCGGAUUUAUUGGGCGUAAAGAGCGUGUAGGCGGCCAGGUAGGUCCGUUGUGAAAACUCGAGGCUCAACCUCGAGACGUCGGCGGAAACCCUCUGGCUAGAGUCCGGAAGAGGAGAGUGGAAUUCCUGGUGUAGCGGUGAAAUGCGUAGAUAUCGGAAGGAACAUCAGUGGCGAAAGCGACUUCCUGGACCAAUACUGACGCUCAUGUGCGAAAGCGUGGGGAGCAAACAAG
rnacentral:rRNA from 1 species